rnacentral:tRNA from 1 species
GAGGGUAUAACUUAGUGGUGAAGUGCGUGCUUGGUGUGCAUGAGGCCCUGGGUUCGGUCCCCAGUCCCUCCA